rnacentral:rRNA from 1 species
AUGGCCGAUGUGCUUGCCGAGUUUGAGGUCGCCAAAGUAGAGGAGGCGGCCGAGCAGCAGGCAAUCAUGGACUUCAUCCGCUCGGAGGCGGAGGUGAAGGCAAAUCGCCGCUACAUCCACGACCGACGGACAAAUGUGGACGCAAUCUUUGCAGACAUGGAGUCUGCCGAGGAGGCGGCCAUCCGUCAGGUGGCUGGUCCGUCCACAAUACCAGCACGGAAGCCGUUUACAUCUCCGAAGACGAGCAGGCUAGGCAAGGCAGGCAUGUUUCGUCCGGCGUUCGGAGUCGCGGCGAGGACCCUGCUGUGGCGGUUCUGCGGCCAGGCCACGGCUGCUCGAUCUCUGUCGAGGCCGGUCGGAGCUAGCAUGCUAAGAUACCUACACUCUCAGCAGGCGAAUGCUGCAAUUGCUACUGCUGGCCACCGCUAUGGCCUUUUUCGCAGGGACCUACCUCCAUCAGAGAUUGACUGGGAUGUCCCUUCCGGUGCCGACGUCUCUGAAGCUGACUGGGUUAAAACUUGUGUCGUCUCUUCGGCAGACUGGGUCGCCGAGGUUGAUUGGGUUGAAGCUGGUGCGGCCUCUCCGGUUGUGAGGAAUCAACGUCAUUGUGGCUGCUGUUGGGCGAUGGCUGCUGCAGCCUCAGUCGAGGCUAUGCAUUACCUGAAGACCUCCAAGUCAAUCUCGCUAUCUGUUCAAGAGCUCAUCGACUGUGACACAAAGAGCAAAGGGUGUGACAGCGGCCUCAUACAGAAUGCUUUAAGGUAUGUACAAGAAAAUGGACUCUCAAGUGAACCCCACUACCCAUACAAGGGUGAGAGGAGUAUAUCGGGUUGCAAGCAGAACAAAAUAGCAGCAACAUCAAGGAUAUCUGGGUUUCAAUUUGUCGACCCAACCGAGGAUGCUCUAGAGAAAGCGGUAGCUAGGCAGCCUGUGGUUGUCAGUUUGCACUGUUCUGAUGGCCUGAUGAGGUACUACAAAGGAGGCAUCGUGGAUUAUGAACCUGUCAGCGGCAUGACCAACGAGGAACACUAUGUCCUGAUUGUUGGUUAUGGCAUCGAUUCCAAUGGCGUCAAAUACUGGCACUUCAAGAACUCGUGGGGACCAAACUGGGGCGAAGGGGGGUUUGGGAGGAUCCGCAGGCAUGUUGACGACAAACGAGGAGCGUUGGGGAUUUUCCUGAAACAAGGAGUAUAUCCGGUGCUUAAUUAA